rnacentral:rRNA from 1 species
UACGUAGGGUGCAAGCGUUGUCCGGAAUUAUUGGGCGUAAAGAGCUCGUAGGCGGUUUGUUGCGUCGGCUGUGAAAUCCCGAGGCUCAACCUCGGGUUCUGCAGUCGAUACGAGCAAACUAGAGUGUUGCAGGGGAGACUGGAAUUCCUGGUGUAGCGGUGAAAUGCGCAGAUAUCAGGAGGAACACCGGUGGCGAAGGCGGGUCUCUGGGCAACAACUGACGCUGAGGAGCGAAAGCGUGGGGAGCGAACAGG